GAUGAACGCUGGCGGCGUGCUUAACACAUGCAAGUCGAACGGACGAUGAAAAGCUUGCUUUCCAAAGUUAGUGGCGGACGGGUGAGUAACGCGUGGGUAACCUGCCUCAUACAGGGGGAUAGCAGCUGGAAACGGCUGAUAAAACCGCAUAAGCGCACAGCAUCGCAUGAUGCAGUGUGAAAAACUCCGGUGGUAUGAGAUGGACCCGCGUCUGAUUAGCUAGUUGGUGAGGUAACGGCCCACCAAGGCGACGAUCAGUAGCCGGCCUGAGAGGGUGACCGGCCACAUUGGGACUGAGACACGGCCCAAACUCCUACGGGAGGCAGCAGUGGGGAAUAUUGCACAAUGGGGGAAACCCUGAUGCAGCGACGCCGCGUGAAGGAAGAAGUAUCUCGGUAUGUAAACU
rnacentral:rRNA from 1 species